rnacentral:misc_RNA from 1 species
AAGUCGUAACAAGGUUUCCGUAGGUGAACCUGCGGAAGGAUCAUUACAACGUAUCCACGUACCAAACUCUCGAACUGUUCCCAACGGAGUGAAACACUUGUGGAUGAAGUUAAUGACUGGCUGUCUUUCGCUGAUGGAGUUCUCUGACUUUUGUCUGAGGACUGAAAGGCAUUCAGUUGCCAGAGACUCGUCUCUGGGACUUCGUUUGCUCCGUUGCGGUUUUACCGUCAGCGCUGUUUUACCAUUAUUAACCCUUUGAAUUUCUGAACUGAACUUGAAAGCCUCGCAGCAGUCCUCGCUGGCUUCGGUCACGGACUGCGCUUGGUUUUUCACAUUUUACGAAACAAAGAACAACUCUUAGCAACGGAUAUCUUGGUUCUC